AUGACCACGACCCCGCCGUCCCGCCUUGCCCGUCCCGCUCGCAGUGGCCGAUGCCCCGCGGCCUCGCCAGCCCCGCCCCGUCCGUCCCGCUCGCCAUGGCCGAUGCCCCGCGGCCCCACCCCGCCCGUCCCGCUCGCCGUGGCCGAUGACCGCGCCACCAGGGACCGCGGCCACUCGAUGAGGAGGCCUGGACCCUGGCGCAGACCCAAGCUCCCGAGCGGCGGCAGCGGGCAGAUCCCUCCUCAUCGCGGAGCCCCUCCUACCGGCGCCACGCCGCACCGUGAUGCUGCUCGCCGUUGA
rnacentral:rRNA from 1 species